UUGCAGGACUGGAAUAGCACCAUUUGAAUGCAUAUAGACACAAAAUAUGCAUAAGAAAUAUGUUGCAAUGAGAAGAGAUCACGGAAUAGAAGAGGGAACCCCACUGUCUUCAUUACAUUUUAAAGACAGGGAUCAGGAGUGAAAUCUCAGCUCUGUCAAAGCCAGUGGAAACAAUUCCAGUCUUCAAGAGAGUCAGGAUUUUUUCUCCAACCUUUUUAUUUGCCCUUGGAUAAUUCAUCAUAACAACCGUUAACAGAUUGACUCAACAGAGGUGAAAAGUUCCUUCUCUGACGGUGAUCUGCUUCUGUUGGGUGAAAACCCUAGAGUAUCUA